rnacentral:rRNA from 1 species
UACGAAGGGGGCUAGCGUUGUUCGGAAUUACUGGGCGUAAAGCGCGCGCAGGCGGCUAUCCAAGUCAGUGGUGAAAGCCCGGAGCUCAACUCCGGAACUGCCAUUGAAACUGUUUAGCUUGAGGACGAGAGAGGUGAGUGGAAUUCCCAGUGUAGAGGUGAAAUUCGUAGAUAUUGGGAAGAACACCGGUGGCGAAGGCGGCUCUCUGGACCGAGACUGACGCUGAGGCGCGAAAGCGUGGGGAGCAAACAGG